rnacentral:rRNA from 1 species
AUUGAACGCUGGCGGCAGGCCUAACACAUGCAAGUCGAGCGAGCGGCGGACGGGUGAGUAAUGUCUGGGACACUGCCUGAUGGAGGGGGAUAACUACUGGAAACGGUAGCUAAUACCGCAUACCAUCAGAUGUGCCCAGAUGAGAUUAGCUCGUAGGUGGGGGAACGGCUCACCUAGGCGACGAUCCCUAGCUGGUCUGAGAGGAUGACCCGCCACACUGGAACUGAGACAUGGUCCAGGCUCCUACGGGAGGCAGCAGGGGGGAAUAGUGCACAAUGGGCUCAAUCCGGAUGCAGCCAUUCCGCGUGUGUGAAGAAGGCCUUCGGGUUGUAAAGCACUGUCAGCGGGGAGGCGUUACCCGCAGAAGAAGCACCGGCUAACUCCGUGCCAGCAGCCGCGGUAAUUC